GUUAGAGACAGGUAGCCUAGUGGUUAGAGACAGGUAGCCUAGUGGUUAGAGGCAGGUAGCCUAGUGGUUAGAGGCAGGUAGCCUAGUGGUUAGAGGCAGGUAGCCUAGUGGUUAGAGGCAGGUAGCCUAGUGGUUAGAGGCAGGUAGCCUAGUGGUUAGAGGCAGGUAGCCUAGUGGUUAGAGGCAGGUAGCCUAGUGGUUAGAGACAGGUAGCCUAGUGGUUAGAGACAGGUAGCCUAGUGGUUAGAGACAGGUAGCCUAGUGGUUAGAGACAGGUAGCCUAGUGGUUAGAGGCAGGUAGCCUAGUGGUUAGAGGCAGGUAGCCUAGUGGUUAGAGGCAGGUAGCCUAGUGGUUAGAGGCAGGUAGCCUAGUGGUUAGAGACAGGUAGCCUAGUGGUUAGAGACAGGUAGCCUAGUGGUUAGAGACAGGUAGCCUAGUGGUUAGAGACAGGUAGCCUAGUGGUUAGAGGCAGGUAGCCUAGUGGUUAGAGGCAGGUAGCCUAGUGGUUAGAGGCAGGUAGCCUAGUGGUUAGAGGCAGGUAGCCUAGUGGUUAGAGGCAGGUAGCCUAGUGGUUAGAGGCAGGUAGCCUAGUGGUUAGAGACAGGUAGCCUAGUGGUUAGAGGCAGGUAGCCUAGUGGUUAGAGGCAGGUAGCCUAGUGGUUAGAGGCAGGUAGCCUAGUGGUUAGAGGCAGGUAGCCUAGUGGUUAGAGGCAGGUAGCCUAGUGGUUAGAGGCAGGUAGCCUAGUGGUUAGAGGCAGGUAGCCUAGUGGUUAGAGGCAGGUAGCCUAGUGGUUAGAGGCAGGUAGCCUAGUGGUUAGAGACAGGUAGCCUAGUGGUUAGAGGCAGGUAGCCUAGUGGUUAGAGGCAGGUAGCCUAGUGGUUAGAGGCAGGUAGCCUAGUGGUUAGAGCAGGUAGCCUAGUGGUUAGAGGCAGGUAGCCUAGUGGUUAGAGGCAGGUAGCCUAGUGGUUAGAGGCAGGUAGCCUAGUGGUUAGAGGCAGGUAGCCUAGUGGUUAGAGACAGGUAGCCUAGUGGUUAGAGACAGGUAGCCUAGUGGUUAGAGACAGGUAGCCUAGUGGUUAGAGACAGGUAGCCUAGUGGUUAGAGGCAGGUAGCCUAGUGGUUAGAGGCAGGUAGCCUAGUGGUUAGAGCAGGUAGCCUAGUGGUUAGAGGCAGGUAGCCUAGUGGUUAGAGGCAGGUAGCCUAGUGGUUAGAGGCAGGUAGCCUAGUGGUUAGAGACAGGUAGCCUAGUGGUUAGAGACAGGUAGCCUAGUGGUUAGAGGCAGGUAGCCUAGUGGUUAGAGGCAGGUAGCCUAGUGGUUAGAGGCAGGUAGCCUAGUGGUUAGAGGCAGGUAGCCUAGUGGUUAGAGGCAGGUAGCCUAGUGGUUAGAGGCAGGUAGCCUAGUGGUUAGAGCAGGUAGCCUAGUGGUUAGAGACAGGUAGCCUAGUGGUUAGAGACAGGUAGCCUAGUGGUUAGAGACAGGUAGCCUAGUGGUUAGAGACAGGUAGCCUAGUGGUUAGAGGAGGCAGGUAGCCUAGUGGUUAGAGGAGGCAGGUAGCCUAGUGGUUAGAGGAGGCAGGUAGCCUAGUGGUUAGAGGCAGGUAGCCUAGUGGUUAGAGACAGGUAGCCUAGUGGUUAGAGACAGGUAGCCUAGUGGUUAGAGACAGGUAGCCUAGUGGUUAGAGACGGUAGCCUAGUGGUUAGAGACGGUAGCCUAGUGGUUAGAGGCAGGUAGCCUAGUGGUUAGAGGCAGGUAGCCUAGUGGUUAGAUGCAGGUAGCCUAGUGGUUAGAUGCAGGUAGCCUAGUGGUUAGAGGCAGGUAGCCUAGUGGUUAGAGGCAGGUAGCCUAAUGGUUAGAGCAGGUAGCCUAGUGGUUAGAGCAGGUAGCCUAGUGGUUAGAGACAGGUAGCCUAGUGGUUAGAGGCAGGUAGCCUAGUGGUUAGAGGCAGGUAGCCUAGUGGUUAGAGACAGGUAGCCUAGUGGUUAGAGGCAGGUAGCCUAGUGGUUAGAGGCAGGUAGACUAGUGGUUAGAUGCAGGUAGACUAGUGGUUAGAGGCGGUAGCCUAGUGGUUAGAGGCAGGUAGCCUGGUGGUUAGAGACAGGUAGCCUAGUGGUUAGAGACAGGUAGCAUAGUGAUUAGAGACAGGUAGCCUAGUGGUUAGAGGCAGGUAGCCUAGUGGUUAGAGGCAGGUAGCCUAGUGGUUAGAGACAGGUAGCCUAGUGGUUAGAGACAGGUAGCCUAGUGGUUAGAGGCAGGUAGCCUAGUGGUUAGAGGCAGGUAGCCUAGUGGUUAGAGGCAGGUAGCCUAGUGGUUAGAGGCAGGUAGCCUAGUGGUUAGAGGAGGCAGGUAGCCUAGUGGUUAGAGGAGGCAGGUAGCCUAGUGGUUAGAGGAGGCAGGUAGCCUAGUGGUUAGAGGAGGCAGGUAGCCUAGUGGUUAGAGGCAGGUAGCCUAGUGGUUAGAGCAGGUAGCCUAGUGGUUAGAGGCAGGUAGCCUAGUGGUUAGAGGCAGGUAGCCUAGUGGUUAGAGGCAGGUAGCCUAGUGGUUAGAGGCAGGUAGCCUAGUGGUUAGAGCGUUGGGUCAGUAACCGAAAGGUUGCUGGAUUGAAUCUCUGAGCUGACAAGGUAAAAAUCUGUCGUUCUGCCCCUGAACAAGGCAGUUAACCCACUGUUCCCUGGUAGGCCGUCAUUGUAAAUAAGAAUUUGUUCUUAACUGACUUGCUGGUUAAAUAAAUGCUGAAACCCUGUUUUGUUAUUAUGUAGCAGUCAUAGUUUCUGUCUGGUUUAUAAUUACUAUCAAAAUGUCCCAAGAUAAUAUACAUCUACCAGUGGUUGCAGCAUGGUACAAUGCAACACAUUACUCUUAAAAUGUCACAAAAUAACUUUAAAAAUCAACUGGUGGUUGCCGCAUGAUACAACGCAACACAUUACUCUUAAAAUGGCACAAAAUAACUUUAAAAUCAACUGGUGGUUGCAACAUGGUACAACGUAACAAACAAGCGUUUAAAUAAAAAAGGAAAUCUCAUAUUUUGGGGCUACAGGGCUUUACAGGAAGUGCUCGUGCUUGGUUUUCAACCUCUUUGUCUAUUCCUUCCAGCAACUACUACUAUUGCAGACAUCACUUCAACGGUUGGCUCUUCAUCAGCCACUGGUGAGUUUACAUCAAUCCUCUCUGACUGACUGAAUUGUAACCAUCUCUCAUCUUAAUCAUAUAGUAUGUUAUAUACACUACCGUUCAAAAGUUUUGGGUCAAUUAGAAAUGUCCUUGUUUUUGAAACAAAAGCAAAUUUUUUGUCCAUUAAAAUAACAUCAAAUUGAUCAGAGAUACAGUGUAGACAUUGUUAAUGUUGUAAAUUACUAUUCUAGCUGGAAACGGCAGAUUUUUUAAAUGGAAUAUCUACAUAGGCAUACAGAGGCCCAUUAUCAGCAAACAACACCCCUGUGUUCCAAUGGCACGUUGUGUUCGCUAAUUCAAGUUAAUCAUUUUAAAAGGUUAUCUGAUCAUUAGAAAACACUUUUGCUAUUAUGUUAGCAAAGCUGAAAACUGUUGUUCUGGUUAAAGAAGCAAAAAACCUGUCCUUCUUUAGACUAUUUGAGUAUUUGGAGCAUCAGAAUUUGUGGGUUCAAUUACAGGCUCGAAAUGGCCAGAAACAAAGAACUUUCUUCUGAAACUCAUCAGUCUAUUUUUGUUCUGAGAAAUGAAGGCUAUUCCAUGUGAGAAUUUGCGUCCCUCUGCAACUGGAUCUUCGACAUCCUGACAGGUCACCCAUAGGUGGUAAGUGUAGGUAACAACACAUCUGCCACACUGACCGUCAACACGGGGGCCCCUCAGGGGUGCAUGCUUAGUCCCCUCAUGUACUCCCAGUUCAGUGCAUGGCUGCGCCCGACACCAGCACCAUCAUCAAGUUUGCUGAUGACACGACUGUGCUAGGCCUGAUCCCUGACAACGAUGAGACAGCCUAUAGGGAGGAGGUCAGUGACAGGGCACUGUGGUGCCAUGACAACAUCCUCUCCCUCAACGUCAGCCAGAGAAAGGAGCUGAUUGUGGUCUACAGGUAAUUAAGGGCCGAGCCCCCUGGGCUCUAGUGGAUCGGGUCGAGAGCUUCAAGUUCCUCGGUGUCCCCGUCACUAAGGAUGUAACAUGGUCCAGACACACCAAGACAGUCAUGAAGAGGGCACGACAACAACUUUUCCUCCCCAGGAGACUGAAAAUAUUUGGCAUGUGUCCCCCCCAGAUCCUCAAAAAGUUCCACAGCUGCACCAUUGAGAGCAUCUUGACCGGUUGCAUCACCGCCUGGUAUGGCUAAUGCUGGGCAUCUGACCGUAAGGCCCUACAGAGGAUAGUGCAUAUGGCCCAGCACAUCACUGGGGCCAAGCUUCCUGCCAUCCAGGACCUAAAUGCUAGGCGUGUCCGAGGAAGGCCCUAAAACAUUGGCAAAGACUCCAGCCACCCAAGUCAUAGACCGUUCUCUCUGCUACCGCACGGCAAGCGAUACAGGAGUGCCAAAUCCAGGUCCAAAGGUUCCUUAACAGCUUCUACCCCCUUGAUAAAAGACUCCUGAACAAUUAAUGAAAUGGGCACCCGGACUAUUUACAUUUUACACUGCUGCUACUCGCUGUUUAUUGUCUAUACAUAGUCACUUUAUACCUACCUACAUGUACAAAUUACCUUGGCUAACCUGUACCCAGUACAGUGACUCGGUACCGGUACCCCCUGUAUAUCGUCUCGUUAUUGUUCAUUUAUUGUGUUAUUUUUGUAUUUUUUAUUUUUUAUUUUAAACUUUAGUUUAUUUAGAAAUAUUUUCUUAACUCUAUUUAGUGAAUGGCAUUGUUGGUUAAAGGCCUUGUAAGUAAGCAGGUAGCCUAGUGGUUAGAGGCAGGUAGCCUAGUGGUUAGAGGCAGGUAGCCUAGUGGUUAGAGGCAGGUAGCCUAGUGGUUAGAGGCAGGUAGCCUAGUGGUUAGAGGCAGGUAGCCUAGUGGUUAGAGGCAGGUAGCCUAGUGGUUAGAGACAGGUAGCCUAGUGGUUAGAGGCAGGUAGCCUAGUGGUUAGAGGCAGGUAGCCUAGUGGUUAGAGGCAGGAGGCAGGUAGCCUAGUGGUUAGAGGCAGGUAGCCUAGUGGUUAGAGGCAGGUAGCCUAGUGGUUAGAGGCAGGUAGCCUAGUGGUUAGAGGCAGGUAGCCUAGUGGUUAGAGACAGGUAGCCUAGUGGUUAGAGGCAGGUAGCCUAGUGGUUAGAGACAGGUAGCCUAGUGGUUAGAGGCAGGUAGCCUAGUGGUUAGAGGCAGGUAGCCUAGUGGUUAGAGACAGGUAGCCUAGUGGUUAGAGACAGGUAGCCUAGUGGUUAGAGGCAGGUAGUCUAGUGGUUAGAGGCAGGUAGCCUAGUGGUUAGAGGCAGGUAGCCUAGUGGUUAGAGACAGGUAGCCUAGUGGUUAGAGGCAGGUAGCCUAGUGGUUAGAGACAGGUAGCCUAGUGGUUAGAGACAGGUAGCCUAGUGGUUAGAGGCAGGUAGUCUAGUGGUUAGAGGCAGGUAGCCUAGUGGUUAGAGGCAGGUAGCCUAGUGGUUAGAGACAGGUAGCCUAGUGGUUAGAGACAGGUAGCCUAGUGGUUAGAGACAGGUAGCCUAGUGGUUAGAGACAGGUAGCCUAGUGGUUAGAGGCAGGUAGCCUAGUGGUUAGAGGCAGGUAGCCUAGUGGUUAGAGACAGGUAGCCUAGUGGUUAGAGACAGGUAGCCUAGUGGUUAGAGACAGGUAGCCUAGUGGUUAGAGACAGGUAGCCUAGUGGUUAGAGGAGGCAGGUAGCCUAGUGGUUAGAGGAGGCAGGUAGCCUAGUGGUUAGAGGAGGCAGGUAGCCUAGUGGUUAGAGGAGGCAGGUAGCCUAGUGGUUAGAGGAGGCAGGUAGCCUAGUGGUUAGAGGAGGCAGGUAGCCUAGUGGUUAGAGGAGGCAGGUAGCCUAGUGGUUAGAGGAGGCAGGUAGCCUAGUGGUUAGAGGAGGCAGGUAGCCUAGUGGUUAGAGGAGGCAGGUAGCCUAGUGGUUAGAGGCAGGUAGCCUAGUGGUUAGAGGCAGGUAGCCUAGUGGUUAGAGGCAGGUAGCCUAGUGGUUAGAGGCAGGUAGCCUAGUGGUUAGAGGCAGGUAGCCUAGUGGUUAGAGGCAGGUAGCCUCGUGGUUAGAGGCAGGUAGCCUCGUGGUUAGAGGCAGGUAGCCUCGUGGUUAGAGGCAGGUAGCCUAGUGGUUAGAGGCAGGUAGCCUAGUGGUUAGAGGCAGGUAGCCUAGUGGUUAGAGACAGGUAGCCUAGUGGUUAGAGGAGGCAGGUAGCCUAGUGGUUAGAGGAGGCAGGUAGCCUAGUGGUUAGAGGAGGCAGGUAGCCUAGUGGUUAGAGGAGGCAGGUAGCCUAGUGGUUAGAGGAGGCAGGUAGCCUAGUGGUUAGAGGAGGCAGGUAGCCUAGUGGUUAGAGGAGGCAGGUAGCCUAGUGGUUAGAGGAGGCAGGUAGCCUAGUGGUUAGAGGCAGGUAGCCUAGUGGUUAGAGGCAGGUAGCCUAGUGGUUAGAGACAGGUAGCCUAGUGGUUAGAGGAGGCAGGUAGCCUAGUGGUUAGAGGAGGCAGGUAGCCUAGUGGUUAGAGGCAGGUAGCCUAGUGGUUAGAGGCAGGUAGCCUAGUGGUUAGAGACAGGUAGCCUAGUGGUUAGAGACAGGUAGCCUAGUGGUUAGAGCAGGUAGCCUAGUGGUUAGAGGCAGGUAGCCUAGUGGUUAU